UUGACCUUGGCUUCUUAACAUUUUAUGCAAUUGGCCCUAAUGUCUAUAUAGGUUUGUUUGUCUGGAUGUGGGAAAUAUGGAAAUGACAUUGUGAGCUCCAUGGGGAGCAGCGACUAAUGUAAAUGAGCGCAGCUCUGAGGAAUAUGUUGGUAUCAUGUAAAUUAUAGGUAAUAAAGAAACGAUGGGCCCACGUGAUAUUACUGAGGCAGACAGAGAGCGGAGUCUUCCCAUUAUUUUAGAGUGAGUGUUGCCUUUGCACAUAGUGUACAUCCUGGCUGGGCCACCUUUUCUGGCAGCUGAUCGAGAAGGCUCAGGGAGGGGUGUGGGUACAUACAGAAGGGAGGGGUGAAGUGUGGGUACUGGGUACAUAAGACAAAUGCUGCAGUAGCAUACCAAGGCAGAAGACGCUGACUGUGACAGAACAGAGACUGUGAGCCUGACAUACCUGAGGAGGCCAGUCACCUUCCAGGCUCCCGACAUCUCAGGCACAACAUGGAUUCUGGAGAGCCUUUGGGCCUUCUGUCUCGCCUCUACAUCUAUGCCAUCCAUGGAUAUGUGUGCGAGAUCCUCUUCACUGCAAUCUUUGACUUUAUUACGUGCACCAGAAGAGACUGGAGGCUUCGUGGUGUGUCCAGUAUUUGGGCACUCUUCAUCUAUGGAGUGGCCAUGCUGGGAGUUGAGUAUAUGUACCUAUCGUUGAGGCUCCAGUAUUGCUUCAUCACCCGUUCUCUUCUCUACAUUCUCUGGAUCUACCUCUGUGAGUUCAGCUCUGGAUGGAUCCUCAGGUACUUUAGUGCUUGUCCGUGGGACUACAGUCACUAUAAAUAUAACUUCAGGGGCCUGGUGACCCUGGAGUAUGUCCCCUUCUGGUUUAUCGGCUGCAUCCUCCUUGAGAAAAUGCUGAUCUGGCACACAUUACGCUUACGUCUUGAAGAAAGCUGGGAACCAGAGCUCCUGAAAAUGGCCUAGGCAUUUCGUCAUGGUCAGAGGAUGAGAAUGUUACACCUGAAAUGUGAAGAACUUAAGGACACGGAAGAGAGAAUGAGGCAGGGUCUAAGGCUAGGGCUACACGACGAGCUGGACGACUGUUGCAGUGCGACACCAUAGACUAUCAUUUCAAUAAAUGUCGAGCCAUAUUGGUGCGACACAUGUCGCAACGUAGUUGUACACUUUUUGUUGCCGUGUAGCCCUAGCCUAAAACUAGGCCUCAAGAAGACUGCAAAAUGACUUAGGUUAGCAUGGUGCGUCCUUCAUCAAUCAACCACGUGGGUUGCACCAAUACAAUAAAUACUUUCAAUCUCUAUCUCAGUGCACUUUAUAGUUAAGACCAGUGAUCUCCAACCUGUGGUCCUCAAACUGUUGAAAACAACCCACCAGCCAUCCAGUCCUGAUAGCUUUGCAACGGCUGGAGGGCCACAAGUUGGAGUAGAUAGCAAUAUGUAGAUACAGUAAAUGGAAUAAUGUGUUAUUUUCUAAUAUGUCUUCUAAUGUUGACCAGGUUUAGAGAAAGGAGGCUGUUUAAGAAACAGCGCCACUCCUCCACAGGUUGUAUGUGGUAUUGCAGGUAAUCCCCAUUCAACUGUAUGAGGUUCCGCUCCAAUGGACAAGACUGGCGCUGCUACUGGAAAUAAGCAGGUCCUAUUUUCUAAAAUUUCUAUAGACUAAUGAAUCAAUGGAUAAAGAUGGACAUUUGCACUAAAUAUAUAUUCAUUUAGUUUGCUAUGCAUUUAAUGAAAGUGUGGACGAACCUCCCCGCUGCCUGUACAGGAAUCAUAGCAGAGGGUGAUCCCAUAGAAGAGCAAGAACGUGCAAGGAAAUCAGAAUUCCCUUAGACCUGUUGGGGUUCCUCCAUAAGCGGUGUAUAGACCAUCACUUAUAGAAGCCAGUACUCUGCUGACAGACUGGAGGAGCACUCGCAGGGUCCGCAGAGGUGUGACAUGAGGAGCCUUGACGAUGCAGUGUACGUCCGCCAUACUUACCACUGCAAGUGGAUCUUGUCUCCAUGAAGCCCCGGCCUUAAAGGGAUUUUUUCAGAUUGGUUAAAAAUUUGCCCAUACGGCAAGAAAUGCUAUAAAAUAACCACUACUCACUGGUUAAACCCCAUAUGUUCCAGCGCUGGUGAUCUGGUGCCUCUGCUGGUCUUGGUUGAAUUUCCUGCAGCGGUAACACGUUGUCCACCCAUGUGACUGAUGCGGCCAAUCUAAGGUGUGAUGCUGGCAUGUAUUGCAAGAGGCCGAUGAAUCCAUUGGCUGACUUUGAUCUUGUCAGUAUACGUCAUCUCACCGCUGCAGGAAAACCAAGAAGUCGGCAGGGACUGGCGAGGACCCCCUAGAGCCACAGUGGGGUUUAUCAGGUCAGUAAUGGUUCCCUUGUUAAUUUUUGGCGUUUCUUCCCUUUCCCCAUCUCUAAAAAAUCUGGAAAUUGUAUCAUAUAAGUCGCCAUCUCAAAUUCUGAUCAUGCCCCUGCAAUGACAACCAGUGCUCCUCCCUGAAAAGUGCAGGCCGUGGGGUGUCCCCAUUAACAGUCCCAGCCAGAGAAGGUCUCAAGCAAGUGUCCUCAUAAUAACUAGUGGAGAAGACCCGUCCCCCGACAUUAAAGGAUUUGUACAGAAAUGAAGAAACAUGUCUGUUUUCCAGAAAUGGUAAAGAAAAGAGGUUCUGCGUCGGCGCGAAAUCACUUAGUGGAAGCAGUCUUAUAGAUGUAUUCUUCUUUUAUUCAUGUUUUCCAGAAAUGGCGCCACACUCCCCCGGGGGUUGUGUCUGGUAUUGCAGCUCAGCUCCAUUGAAGUGAAAGAGGCUGAGCUGUAAUACCAUACAAAACCUGCGGACGGGUGUGGCGCUGUUUCUUGAAGAAGGCUCCCAUGUUUCCUAAAUCCUAAACAGAGCCCUAACCAGGAUUAGAUCAAAGAAAGUGGAUCGCCUGCGCUGUAAUCUCCAACACUAUAUGAGGACCGCAGCGUAGCAGGGACUAUAACAGGAACCAAUACACUUUGAGCCGUGCUGGAGUCCAUGGUUGCUGAGAUUCUCGUCAUUUCUUACAUCUUAUGUCUAUUUAUGUGAACAGAGUUUCAAUAAAUUAUUAUUCUCGUUA